rnacentral:rRNA from 1 species
UACGGGAGGCAGCAGUGGGGAAUAUUCCACAAUGGGGGAAACCCUGAUGCAGCGACGCCGCGUGAGUGAAGAAGUAUUUCGGUAUGUAAAGCUCUAUCAGCAGGGAAGAAAGACUCGCAAGAGAGAUGACGGUACCUGACUAAGAAGCCCCGGCUAACUACGUGCCAGCAGCCGCGGUAAU